GAUGAAGAACGCAGCGAAAUGCGAUAAGUAAUGUGAAUUGCAGAAUUCAGUGAAUCAUCGAAUCUUUGAACGCACAUUGCGCCCGCCAGUAUUCUGGCGGGCAUGCCUGUUCGAGCGUCAUUUCAACCAUCAAGCCCCCGGCUUGUGUUGGGGACCUGCGGCUGCCGCAGGCCCUGAAAAGCAGUGGCGGGCUCGCUGUCACACCGAGCGUAGUAGCAUACAUCUCGCUCUGGGCGUGCUGCGGGUUCCGGCCGUUAAGCCACCUUCAUAACCCAAGGUUGACCUCGGAUCAGGUAGGAAGACCCGCUGAACUUAAGCAUAUCAAUAAGCGGAGGA
rnacentral:misc_RNA from 1 species